UAUAUUUAAUCGAAAUAUGGACAGUUAAGAACUAGACUAGAGUUACAAGAGAUAUAUAAUUUGAAUAUUAACAGUAGAUAUUUUUACAACAUCAAAAGAGCUGUUCAAAGGGCAAUAGCGAGCAACAUGUUUUAUAAAUAUAGUCCAAAAAUUCAGUUUUUGUUAAACACACUACCUAAGUUA